rnacentral:pre_miRNA from 1 species
AACUGACCAAUUACAGUCGAAUCCGAGAAGAAUAAGCGACUGUGAUUCGCCCAUUUCUUAUGGCUUAGGGCUUAAAACCCUAUUGUAGAUCCGGGGUAACAAGUAACCCGAUUACCCCGGAUCUACAAUAGGGUUUUAAGCCUUAAGCCAUAAGAAAUGGGCGAAUCACAGUCGCUUAUUCUUCUCGGAUUCGACUGUAAUUGGUCAGUU